rnacentral:tRNA from 1 species
GGUAAGAUGGCCGAGGUCAGGCGGCAGGCUGUAGUCCUGCACAGGCGGGUGCAAUCCCGCUCUUCCCAA